rnacentral:misc_RNA from 1 species
ACAACCCUCAAGCUCUGCUUGGUGUUGGGCCCCGCCGCCCCGGCGGGCCCUAAAGUCAGUGGCGGUGCCGUCCGGCUCCGAGCGUAGUAAUUUUUCUCGCUUUGGAGGCCCGGGCGCGUGCUCGUCAUCAACCCCCAAUUUUUUUCA